CAGUCGUACUUAUGGGUAAUCAGCCUUUUGGGUGUGAUUUUGUGGAGCGUGAGGAGUUAAACGCCUUCAUGCCUGCAUAUUCGUGCACUUUGGGUGUACUUGCCCGUGUGUAAGUUAACAUCAAUUUUGGUCGUCAUAAAAUGACUGGAGGAAUGUAGCUUUGGUCUCGUAUCGAAGUGUUAUAGACUCUGGUAGAUGUGACGAUUGGGGAUUGAGGAUUGCAACGGAUACCCUUCGGGGCUACUUGUCUGAUCUCUGAUUGUUGCUCUGGUGCUGAAAGCUUGCUUAUGGCUAU
rnacentral:rRNA from 1 species